CAGUAGCCGCGGGAAUACGAAGGGGGCUAGCGUUGUUCGGAUUUACUGGGCGUAAAGGGUGCGUAGGCGGAUUGUUAAGUCAGGGGUGAAAUCCCGAGGCUCAACCUCGGAACUGCCUUUGAUACUGGCGAUCUUGAGUCCGGGAGAGGUGAGUGGAACUGCGAGUGUAGAGGUGAAAUUCGUAGAUAUUCGCAAGAACACCGGUGGCGAAGGCGGCUCACUGGCCCGGUACUGGCGCUGAGGCACGAAAGCGUGGGGAGCAAACAGGAUUAGAUACCCCCGUAGUCCCUGUCUCUUAUAC
rnacentral:rRNA from 1 species